CCUACGGGAGGCAGCAGUGGGGGAUAUUGCACAAUGGGGGGAACCCUGAUGCAGCGACGCCGCGUGGGUGAAGGAGUGCUUCGGCAUGUACAGCACUAUCGGCAGGGAAGAAGCAAGACGGUACCUGACUAAGAAGCCCCGGCUAACUACGUGCCAGCAGCCGCGGUAAUACGUAGGGGGCGAGCGUUAUCCGGAUUCACUGGGUGUAAAGGGCGCGGAGACGGCCAUGCAAGCCAGGGGUGAAAGCCCGGGGCCCAACCCCGGGACUGCCCGUGGAACUGCAUGGCUGGAGUGCGGGAGGGGCAGGGGGAAUGCCGGGUGGAGCGGGGAAAUGCGGAGAUAUCAGGAGGAACACCGGCGGCGAAGGCGGCCGGCUGGACCGCGACUGACGUGGAGGCUCGAAAGCGUGGGGAGCGAACAGGAUUAGAUACCCCUGUAGUC
rnacentral:rRNA from 1 species